UGAUCCUGCACAUAGCGUAGACCACAAUACUUGCAGACGGCUGGUUCCUUCAAGUCAAGGCAUAUGAACUCAAUAGGAUGCCCGAGUGCAGGAUUAGUGUCUCCUUCGCAUGCAACAAUCCUGCCUUCAACCUUGAUGGGGGGAAUUUCAUUGAUCAACUCCAUUGGAGAUUUCUUGCUAGCAUCCUGCAUCCAUUUGGCAGUAUGGUUGCUAAUUUGACUGGUGACAAGGCUAAAACUUCUGGCGUUCCAACCCAAAUUGGAGGAUCUCGUUAGGGUUCCCAACAAAGUCGAAGCCAUUGUUGGCUGCC
rnacentral:misc_RNA from 1 species